UACGUAGGUGGCAAGCGUUGUCCGGAUUUACUGGGCGUAAAGAGCGCGCAGGCGGUCGUUCAAGUCGAGUGUGAAAGCCCCCGGCUCAACUGGGGAGGGUCACUCGAUACUGAUCGACUCGAAGGCAGGAGAGGGAAGCGGAAUUCCCGGUGUAGUGGUGAAAUGCGUAGAUAUCGGGAGGAACACCAGUGGCGAAGGCGGCUUUCUGGCCUGCUCUUGACGCUGAGGCGCGAAAGCUAGGGUAGCAAACGGG
rnacentral:rRNA from 1 species